GUGGCUGCUUUUUAAUUUCCGACAUUCGCAGCCGAUACGAAAAAGUUAUCGAGAUAGUGGCCCUGGCAGUCUUAAAAUUACGUCAUUUUCAGGUCCCGGAUCCAGAAAUUUUUGGCUCGGGGAGAGUGGGCACCAGUCUAGAACCAGGAAGGUCUAAUACGCAUCAGGUGUUCCGGCUAGAACAAAGACGUCAACGCAGAGGUGCACAGCGAUCGAGCGCUGGCGAGCGCUGAGAGCGGUUUGAUAUACUGUAGUGGACGGAUCAGCAGGGGAGGUAACUAGACUCCAGAUUGGGACUAGGGCGUAACUUGCCAACAACAAAAAAAAAGAGAAAAUUUUAGUGUGAUGUAAAAGUAAAGCAGAGUGACUAGUGACCAGUAACUUCAGAAUUGAAGAGAUGCAGGUCUUUGUUCUACAUGGUGAAAGAGGGAAUUAUAGUGGAUAUUUGGAUUGAUCAGUGAAACCUGUGAAGUGUUAGUGAAGCAGAAUAGUUACAGAUCAUAAGAGAUGCAGGUCUUUGUUCAGCAUGGUGUAUAUGGAAAACAUAGUGGAUGGCCAGCAUAGAAAACAUUUAACGAUGUGAAGCAACAGCCAAGCAGAAUGGUUACAGACCAUUAAUUCAGAACUGACAAGAUGCAGGUCUCUGUUCUACAUGCUGUAUGAGGGAAUUAUUGUGGAGUUUUGGAUUUCAUGGCAGUCAUAGAAAUAUUUGAUAAAUAACCAGAUAAUUUAUAUUAAGAAUCAUUUACCACUUACAAGCUGCAUUUAGAGUUACAGAAUAGCUGAACAGAUACUAUUUGUUAAAAACAAACAAACUCAUCUUUCAUUCAUAAAACAAAUUUUACAGUUCAAGGGAGCCAACUCAAAUUUUAAAAAACAACACUAAAAUGCCCUUGCUUUCACAGAAAUUGUCACCUUUCAGAAUGUAAUCAGUUUUAUAGUUUUGGAUCGAGUAUGAACUACAUUGGCAUUUUAGAAUAGAUAGAUGCUUCAAUAAUUACUAUAAAAUUUUAUGCAACAUUGUAUUUUCAUAACCAAUUAACUUCUACCAUAUCAUAUAUUUAUACAGGUCUAUAGGACUGUGAUGUGUGUACCAGUCUAUCAGGCUAUCAUUCUGUCCAGUCAACAAAUUGGCAAUGGCUACAUGGAUUCUCAAGUAACUUGGCAUUACUUAUCACAGUAA